UACGUAGGGGGCAAGCGUUGUCCGGAAUUAUUGGGCGUAAAGAGCGUGUAGGCGGUCCGGUAAGUCAGCUGUGAAAGUCAAGGGCUCAACCCUUGAAUGCCGGUUGAUACUGUCGGGCUAGAGUCCGGAAGAGGCGAGUGGAAUUCCCGGUGUAGCGGUGAAAUGCGCAGAUAUCGGGAGGAACACCAAUGGCGAAGGCAGCUCGCUGGGACGGUACUGACGCUGAGACGCGAAAGCGUGGGAAGCAAACAGG
rnacentral:rRNA from 1 species